GACGAACGCUGGCGGCGUGCUUAACACAUGCAAGUCGAACGGAAAGGCCCUUCUUUUGUUGGUUGCUCGAGUGGCGAACGGGUGAGUAACACGUGAGUAACCUUCCCUUGACUUUGGGAUAACUUCAGGUAACUGUGGCUAAUACCGGAUCGGCGCUCCUGCUGCAUGGUGGGGGUUGGAAAGUUUCGUCGGUUGGGGCUGGACUCGCGGCUUUUCAGCUUGUUGGUGGGGUAGUGGCUUACCAAGGCUUUGACGGGUAGCCGGCCUGAGAGGGUGACCGGCCACAUUGGGACUGAGAUACGGCCAAGACUCCUACGGGAGGCAGAAGUGGGGAAUAUUGAACAAUGGGCGGAAGCCUGAUGCAGCAACGCCGCGUGCGGGAUGACGGCCUUCGGGUUGUAAACCGCUUUCGCCUGUGACGAAGCGUGAGUGACGGUAAUGGGUAAAGAAGCACCGGCUAACUACGUG
rnacentral:rRNA from 1 species